UACGAAGGGGGCUAGCGUUGCUCGGAAUCACUGGGCGUAAAGGGUGCGUAGGCGGGUCUUUAAGUCAGGGGUGAAAUCCCGGAGCUCAACUCCAGAACUGCCUUUGAUACUGAGGAUCUUGAGUCCGGGAGAGGUGAGUGGAACUGCGAGUGUAGAGGUGAAAUUCGUAGAUAUUCGCAAGAACACCGGUGGCGAAGGCGGCUCACUGGCCCGGUACUGACGCUGAGGCACGAAAGCGUGGGGAGCAAACAGG
rnacentral:rRNA from 1 species